UACAGAGGAGCCAAGCGUUGUCCGGAUUGACUGGGCGUAAAGCGCACGCAGGCGGUUUGGCGCGUGGGGUGUGAAAUCUGGCCGCUUAACGGCCAGGCGCCAUCCCAUACGGCCGAACUGGAGUGAUGCAGAGGUCUGUGGAAUUGCCGGUGUAGUGGUGAAAUGCGUAGAGAUCGGCAGGAACACCCAGGGGGAAACCAGCCGACUGGGCAUCGACUGACGCUGAGGUGCGAGAGCGUGGGGAGCGAACCGG
rnacentral:rRNA from 1 species